ACGGGUGAGUAACACGUGGGAACGUGCCCUUCGGUUCGGAAUAACUCAGGGAAACUUGAGCUAAUACCGGAUACGCCCUUUUGGGGAAAGGUUUACUGCCGAAGGAUCGGCCCGCGUCUGAUUAGCUAGUUGGUGGGGUAACGGCCUACCAAGGCGACGAUCAGUAGCUGGUCUGAGAGGAUGAUCAGCCACACUGGGACUGAGACACGGCCCAGACUCCUACGGGAGGCAGCAGUGGGGAAUAUUGGACAAUGGGCGCAAGCCUGAUCCAGCCAUGCCGCGUGAGUGAUGAAGGCCUUAGGGUUGUAAAGCUCUUUUGUCCGGGACGAUAAUGACGGUACCGGAAGAAUAAGCCCCGGCUAACUUCGUGCCAGCAGCCGCGGUAGUACGAAGGGGGCUAGCGUUGCUCGGAAUCACUGGGCGUAAAGGGCGCGUAGGCGGCUUUUUAAGUCGGGGGUGAAAGCCUGUGGCUCAACCACAGAAUUGCCUUCGAUACUGGAAAGCUUGAGACCGGAAGAGGACAGCGGAACUGCGAGUGUAGAGGUGAAAUUCGUAGA
rnacentral:rRNA from 1 species